CAGGAGUGAACGCUGGCGGCGUGCUUAACACCAUGCAAGUCGAACGAAGCGUCCCGCCCGAUGAAGUGGAGUGCUUGCACAAAGUGGAUUCAAUUGGGAUGACUUAGUGGCGGACGGGUGAGUAACGCGUGGGUAACCUGCCUUACACAGGGGACAACAGUUGGAACGACUGCUAAUACCGCAUAACCCGCUAGUACCGCAUGGUACAGACGGAAAAGAUUUAUCGGUGUAAGAUGGACCCGCGUCUGAUUAGAUAGUUGGUGAGGUAACGGCUCACCAAGUCGACGAUCAGUAGCCGGCCUGAGAGGGUGAACGGCCACAUUGGGACUGAGACACGGCCCAAACUCCUACGGGAGGCAGCAGUGGGGAAUAUUGGACAAUGGGGGAAACCCUGAUCCAAGCGACGCCGCGUGAGUGAAGAAGUAUUUCGGUAUGUAAAGCUCUAUCAGCAGGGAAGAAAAUGACGGUACCUGACUAAGAAGCCCCGGCUAACUACGUGCCAGCAGCAGC
rnacentral:rRNA from 1 species